rnacentral:rRNA from 1 species
AUUGAACGCUGGCGGCAUGCUUUACACAUGCAAGUCGAACGGCAGCGCGGGCUUCGGCCUGGCGGCGAGUGGCGAACGGGUGAGUAAUGCAUCGGAACGUGCCCAGUAGUGGGGGAUAGCCCGGCGAAAGCCGGAUUAAUACCGCAUACGACCUGAGGGUGAAAGCGGGGGACCGAAAGGCCUCGCGCUAUUAGAUCGGCCGAUGUCGGAUUAGCUAGUUGGUGGGGUAAAGGCUUACCAAGGCGACGAUCCGUAGCUGGUCUGAGAGGACGACCAGCCACACUGGGACUGAGACACGGCCCAGACUCCUACGGGAGGCAGCAGUGGGGAAUUUUGGACAAUGGGGGCAACCCUGAUCCAGCCAUGCCGCGUGCGGGAAGAAGGCCUUCGGGUUGUAAACCGCUUUUGUUCGGGAAGAAAUCCUCUGGGCUAAUACCCCGGGGGGAUGACGGUACCGGAAGAAUAAGCACCGGCUAACUACGUG